rnacentral:lncRNA from 1 species
UUAAAUGUAGUAAAUCAUUUUAUUGGGACUUGGAUCGAUCAAAUUAUUUCAUUGGGGCCUAUUUUACAAAUUUACAAUACUUGAGGUUAUGACAUGGACAUCAUUUAAAAAUUAGAAUUUAAUUUACAAGUAUGGAAGUUUAAUGACUAAAUGUUAUGCUUAAUUGAAGAAGGGGGAUUUUCUUUACAAAUUUUAGUUGUGGCCCAUUUAAAAACCACUUGUUCAUUUCAUUACACACACAAAAACAUAUACAAGAAUGUGGAAAGUGGAAACGGGGCAGAAGCUGGGAGAAUUCGAGAAAAAGAGGGAGAAAAAGAGAGAAAAAGGAAGAAAAAAAAGAAGAAAAGAAAGGAAAUGGAAGAGGCCGGUGAUUUUUAUAAGUUUGGGUUCUUCAUUUCUUCAGCUUAUCCUUAUUUUAAAGAGGUAAGUUAAUUAAAUUUCUAGAGUUUAUGAACCAUUCAUUCAUAUUCGAAGUUUAGCAAGAAUUAGAGAUUAUUAUUAUAUUUUUGAGGUAUUAAACAAGAAUAUAUCAAAGGAAUGUAUAUUUUGAAAUUUGUGAUGAAGAAAUUGGAAUUUUGAAGGGGUUUGUGAGAUAAAUACUUACUCUUUGAUUUUGUUGUGAUUCUAUAAUAUUGAACACUUAAAUUAGGGAUUUGAGGUUGGAAUUUUCCAUUUUUUAAAGGUAAUUUUAGGGUUACUGUAGUAUAGGUGCUAUUUCUAAAAGUGUGCCCAGAAUGUUGCCACUUCUAUCAAUAGUUUUGGGGCCAAAUUUCAAUAUCUAGAAAUUGGUGUCAGAUUUCAACAUUAUGGAAUUUUAGUGCUGUCUUUGUCAAACCUUUGAUUUCACAUUUUAAAGGCUUGAAUGAAGUUUUAUGACAAGUAUUGAGGUUUAUGUAUCGGAAUAAAUUAUGCAUAGGGGUUGUAUAUGUAUAAGUUAUUGAUUUUAAGGAAGUGUGAGUAAUUUAAUGGAUUUAAUAAUGCAUGGUGUUUUGUUGAUGAAUCAAUAAAGAAAAUAAAAGUUGGGGAACUAGAGAUGUAAAAGUAAAUAUAGAAGUUGGGGAGUUAAGUGGUGAAAUUGUAUUACUUUAAUUGUCAAGUUUUAAUUUGAGUAACUAUACUGUUAUUUCAGGUAAUGACGUGAAAGUUUGGAAAGACUUGUCAAUUUAAGUAGAUUUCUAUCCAUAGAUCUGUAAGUGGAAACAUAUAAAUGUUUUUAAAGUAUUUAUAAAUUAAGUCUAUUAUCAAAGUAUGUGCAUUUAUUUGCAAUUAUGUGUUCGAUUUUAUGAUUAUUACAGAAAUCUCUUUUAUUAGAAUACAUGCGGAAUCUCAAAGAUUAUUUAUGGCAUAUUUAUAAUUUGGUAUGUGAGACAUGUGAUAUUGAAAUUUGUUUGGUAUGUAAGACAUGUGAUGUUGAGAUUGACCAAAAAAGUACCCAUGAUUAUAUACUUCUUCUAGUUCACAGAGAGUCCUUGGCCGUGUUCUACACUACACUGAGGGGUCUUGGACCGUAGAUGAAGGGGUCUCGGACCGUAGAUGAAGGGGUCUCGACCGUAUAUAUAUAGUUUACAGAGGGGUCUUGACCGUGUUCUAAAAUUGAUUAUGAGAAGUCUUUGAUAUCGACUUUUUGUUUACGGAGGGGGCCAAAGGCCCAUGGCAAAAGUUCUUAACCCAAGUGGCGGAUUAUAUAUUUUAGUCAGAGGAUAUAUUUUUGGUGAAUUGUUCAAUACAUUUGCUGUGAUGAGAUUAUAGCAUGAUUACCACCUUUUGUUCAUAUUAUGAUUUUGAGAUGAUAUUUUACCACGUUACAUGAAUGUUUUACGUUUUGGCUAUAAUCAUAUGAUGUUAUCUUGCAAACUAUUCAAUAAUAUGAAAUCGAUUUUCGAUAAAAAUGUAAAAUUGAAAAAGUAUAAUUAUUUUCGUACUUCUCCACUUACUGAGCUAUCAACUAAUAUAUUUUCCCAUAAUUUUUCCUACAAAUAGCAAUAGAUUCCUUUUAGCUUGAAGAGCCUAAUGAUUUUAGAAUGAG